AAAAUCUGCAAGCUUAGGCUCUGCAUAUCCGGGGAAGAGACAUCGUCAUGUUGCAGCUCGAGGGUAUUCGUAUUGUCAGCCUGGCUGAGCAAUAUCCCGGGCCCUACGCGACGCUUCUGAUGGCCGAUCUUGGGGCCGACGUCAUCCUCGUCGAGCGUCCGGGCAUCGGAGAUCCCGCGCGGCAGUUUCCGGCGUUCCACGCCGCGCUCAAUCGCAACAAGCGCUCGGUG
rnacentral:misc_RNA from 1 species